rnacentral:misc_RNA from 1 species
UGCAGUCGGAACAGCACCAUGUCCUGGUGAGCUGCCUCGGAGACGGGAAGAUCUUUACCCUGUGCUGGUGAGUACUCAAGCGGCGUACAUGGUAUUGUAGACACGAAGCGGCAUGACAGACACACCUCUCCCAGCACAGCUGCCUGAGGGCUUGUCCGCCAUAGAAACGCAGCGGCAGGAGCGUUUACUCGCUUCCACUAUCGCAGAAGGCUCACUGUCUCUUUUAGUGCUGGAGGAAGCGUUCAGGCGCGAGCGCCUCGAGCAGCUUCGCCGACACGAAGCAGCUCUCACGGAGCUCAGCACUGUCCUGUCAGCUAGGGCUCAAGACACUGACCUGUGCCUCUCAAACACGGUGCUGUCCGCCAGUUUGUUGAGCGUUGAAGAGCCGCUUUCCUGGGAGGUCGUGGAUCGACUCAAUGACGAGGAUGUCGAGCGCAUUUGGCAGCGAGAACGGAGAAUGUUGGAGCACAACAUCGGAUUGGUGAGCAAGCGUGUGCGAAGGCUCCAGCAGAGAAAGUCGGGACUUUGAAGCGACGGGAUUCACUUCACGGCUCGGCUGUUUACCUAUUCUGGAAUCUCUUCAAGGCUCCAUCACUCGUGCGCCUUGCCCAAUCGUUUCAUCAAUACGUUAGCGGCUCCAGUUUUGAUUGACUCACGUUGCAACGCGGAGUACAAGCAAAGAAUCAGCCGUGGUUGGUGCUUUUUAUCCUUUUAGAUUCUGCUCAAGCGCGUGCAGCUCAUAAUGACUGUGCCGCCUUUCACUGUACCAUUACCACUGUCACG